GAUGAACGCUGGCGGCGUGCCUAAUACAUGCAAGUCGAGCGAACGGACGAGAAGCUUGCUUCUCUGAUGUUAGCGGCGGACGGGUGAGUAACACGUGGAUAACCUACCUAUAAGACUGGGAUAAUUUCGGGAAACCGUAGCUAAUACCGGAUAAUAUUUUGAACCGCAUGGUUCAAAAGUGAAAGACGGCCUUGCUGUCACUUAUAGAUGGUUCCGCGCUGCAUUAGCUAGUUGGUAAGGUAACGGCUUACCAAGGCAACGAUGCAUAGCCGACCUGAGAGGGUGAUCGGCCACACUGGAACUGAGACACGGUCCAGACUCCUACGGGAGGCAGCAGUAGGGAAUCUUCGGCAAUGGGCGAAAGCCUGACGGAGCAACGCCGCGUGAGUGAUGAAGGUCUUCGGAUCGUAAAACUCUGUUAUUAGGGAAGAACAUAUGUGUAAGUAACUGUGGACAUCUUGACGGUACCUAAUCAGAAAGCCACGGCUAACUACGUG
rnacentral:rRNA from 1 species